rnacentral:rRNA from 1 species
GAUGAACGCUGGCGGCGUGCCUAAUACAUGCAAGUCGAGCGAACGGACGAGAAGCUUGCUUCUCUGAUGUUAGCGGCGGACGGGUGAGUAACACGUGGAUAACCUACCUAUAAGACUGGGAUAACUUCGGGAAACCGGAGCUAAUACCGGAUAAUAUUUUGAACCGCAUGGUUCAAAAGUGAAAGACGGUCUUGCUGUCACUUAUAGAUGGAUCCGCGCUGCAUUAGCUAGUUGGUAAGGUAACGGCUUACCAAGGCAACGAUGCAUAGCCGACCUGAGAGGGUGAGCGGCCACACUGGAACUGAGACACGGACCAGACUCCUACGGGAGGCAGCAGUAGGGAAUCUUCCGCAAUGGGCGAAAGCAUGACGGAGCAACGCCGCGUGAGUGAUGAAGGUCUUCGGAUCGUAAAACUCUGUUAUUAGGGAAGAACAUAUGUGUAAGUAACUGUGCACAUCUUGACGGUACCUAAUCAGAAAGCCACGGCUAACUACGUG